AAUUACCGUAUUUUUCGCACGAUAGGACGCACCGGUCCAUAGGACGCAUCAAGUUUUUUUGGGGGGAAAUAAAGGAAAAAAAAUUAUUUCCCCCCCAGGCGCUUGUGGGGCCGGCAGCGGGGAGAAGCGCUCUUCUCCCCGCAGUCCGCCUUCAGAUCAGGUCCGGGGACAGCGGGAAGACGCGCUGCGUCUCCCAGCUGUCCCCGGAGCUUGGGGGCAGGCAGCGGGGAGAAGCGCUCUUCUCCCUGCCGCCCGCCUUGAGAUCAGGUCCGCGGACAGCGGGAGACGCGCUGCGUCUCCCAGCUGUCCCCGGAGCUUGGGGCAGGCAGCGGGGAAGCGCUCUUCUCCCCGCCGCCCGCCUUCACAUCAGGUCCGGGGACAGCGGGAAGACGCGCUGCGUCUCCCUGCUGUCCCCGGAGCUUGGGGGCAGGCAGCGGGGAGAAGCGCUCUUCUCCCCGCCGCCCGCCUUGAUAUCAAGUCCGGGGACAGCGGGAAGACGCGCUGCGUCUCCCUGCUG
rnacentral:lncRNA from 1 species